rnacentral:rRNA from 2 species
AGCUGGCCUCCCUUUCGAGGCAUGUGCACGCCUGAGCUCUUAAAUCCACAACACACCUGUGAACCCACCGUAGGCCUUCGGGCUUAUGUAUCAUAUACUCUGAAUGUGUCAUAGAAUGUUCAUGUUGCCUUAAAACGCAAUCAAAUACAACUUUCAACAACGGAUCUCUUGGCUCUCGCAUCGAUGAAGAACGCAGCGAAAUGCGAUAAGUAAUGUGAAUUGCAGAUUUUCAGUGAAUCAUCGAAUCUUUGAACGCACCUUGCGCUCCUUGGUAUUCCGAGGAGCAUGCCUGUUUGAGUGUCAUUAAAUCCUCAACCCCACCGAUUUGCUUCGGGGGGAUUGGACUUGGAGCGUGCUGGCGAAGGUCGGCUCCUCUUUAAAUGCAUCAGCGGAGAAGAAAGCUCGUCCCAGUGUGAUAAUCCUGUUGCGCUGUGGUGGGGUGAAAAUUCCGCUUCCAACCGUCCUCCGGGACAAGACAUCUCAAUUUGACCUCAAAUCAGGUAGGACUACCCGCUGAACUUAAGCAUAUCA